rnacentral:rRNA from 1 species
AGCAGUAGCCACGGGAACACGUAGGGUGCAAGCGUUAAUCGGAAUUACUGGGCGUAAAGCGUGCGCAGGCGGUUAUAUAAGUCAGAUGUGAAAUCCCCGGGCUCAACCUGGGAACUGCAUUUGAGACUGUAUGGCUAGAGUGUGUCAGAGGGGGGUAGAAUUCCACGUGUAGCAGUGAAAUGCGUAGAUAUGUGGAGGAAUACCGAUGGCGAAGGCAGCCCCCUGGGAUAACACUGACGCUCAUGCACGAAAGCGUGAGGAGCAAACAGGAUUAGAUACCCCCGUAGUCCCUGUCUCUUAUAC